rnacentral:rRNA from 1 species
UACAGAGGUCUCAAGCGUUGUUCGGAUUCAUUGGGCGUAAAGGGUGCGUAGGUGGCGCCGUAAGUCAGGUGUGAAAUUUCGGAGCUUAACUCCGAAACUGCAUUUGAUACUGCGGUGCUUGAGGACUGGAGAGGAGACUGGAAUUUACGGUAUAGCAGUGAAAUGCGUAGAGAUCGUAAGGAAGACCAGUGGCGAAGGCGGGUCUCUGGACAGUUCCUGACACUGAGGCACGAAGGCCAGGGGAGCAAACGGG